UGUGACUGCGUACCUUUUGUAUAAUGGGUCAGCGACUUAUAUUCUGUAGCAAGGUUAACCGCAUAGGGGAGCCGGAGGGAAACCGAGUCUUAAUUGGGCGUUAAGUUGCAGGGUAUAGACCCGAAACCCGGUGAUCUAGCCAUGGGCAGGUUGAAGGUUGGGUAACACUAACUGGAGGACCGAACCGACUAAUGUUGAAAAAUUAGCGGAUGACCUGUGGCUGGGGGUGAAAGGCCAAUCAAACCGGGAGAUAGCUGGUUCUCCCCGAAAGCUAUUUAGGUAGCGCCUCGUGAAUUCAUCUCCGGGGGUAGAGCACUGUUUCGGCUAGGGGGCCAUCCCGGCUUACCAACCCGAUGCAAACUGCGAAUACCGGAGAAUGUUAUCACGGGAGACACACGGCGGGUGCUAACGUCCGUCGUGAAGAGGGAAACAACCCAGACCGCCAGCUAAGGUCCCAAAGUCAUGGUUAAGUGGGAAACGAUGUGGGAAGGCCCAGACAGCCAGGAUGUUGGCUUAGAAGCAGCCAUCAUUUAAAGAAAGCGUAAUAGCUCACUGGUCGAGUCGGCCUGCGCGGAAGAUGUAACGGGGCUAAACCAU
rnacentral:rRNA from 2 species